UAGGGAAUCUUCCGCAAUGGACGAAAGUCUGACGGAGCAACGCCGCGUGAACGAAGAAGGCCUUCGGGUCGUAAAGUUCUGUUGUUAGGGAAGAACAAGUAUCAGAGUAACUGCUGGUACCUUGACGGUACCUAACCAGAAAGCCACGGCUAACUACGUGCCAGCAGCCGCGGUAAUACGUAGGUGGCAAGCGUUGUCCGGAAUUAUUGGGCGUAAAGCGCGCGCAGGUGGUUCCUUAAGUCUGAUGUGAAAGCCCACGGCUCAACCGUGGAGGGUCAUUGGAAACUGGGGAACUUGAGUGCAGAAGAGGAAAGUGGAAUUCCAAGUGUAGCGGUGAAAUGCGUAGAGAUUUGGAGGAACACCAGUGGCGAAGGCGACUUUCUGGUCUGUAACUGACACUGAGGCGCGAAAGCGUGGGGAGCAAACA
rnacentral:rRNA from 1 species